GGGAAACUGCCUGAUGGAGGGGGAUAACUACUGGAAACGGUAGCUAAUACCGCAUAAUGUCGCAAGACCAAAGUGGGGGACCUUCGGGCCUCAUGCCAUCAGAUGUGCCCAGAUGGGAUUAGCUUGUAGGUGGGGUAACGGCUCACCUAGGCGACGAUCCCUAGCUGGUCUGAGAGGAUGACCAGCCACACUGGAACUGAGACACGGUCCAGACUCCUACGGGAGGCAGCAGUGGGGAAUAUUGCACAA
rnacentral:rRNA from 1 species